rnacentral:snRNA from 1 species
GGAUGUGGCUGACUAGGAGGGUGUCCCCUUUCUCCCUUACUAUUCCAUGUUCAUCCCUCUUGACACUGCCCUCCCGGUCAAAGAGAAUGACUUUCCCCAAUAGAGGAGGGCCGUUUUUCAGUCAAGGAUAUACAAGUAGCUGCACUCCCCUGCCAGAACCUCCAAACAAGUUUUCAAGGAAAAUCGAGGGUAGACUCUAGACAUAUUCAACCAAGGUAUUGCAUGUGGCAGUCCGCCUUUCUU